GGAAAAGCAAUUCAGAAUCCAAAA
rnacentral:siRNA from 1 species